UGGGGAAUAUUGCACAAUGGGCGCAAGCCUGAUGCAGCCAUGCCGCGUGUGUGAAGAAGGCCUUCGGGUUGUAAAGCACUUUCAGCGAGGAGGAAGGUGGUGAGCUUAAUACGCUCAUCAAUUGACGUUACUCGCAGAAGAAGCACCGGCUAACUCCGUGCCAGCAGCCGCGGUAAUA
rnacentral:rRNA from 1 species